GGAAGUAAAAGUCGUAACAAGGUCUCCGUAGGUGAACCUGCGGAGGGAUCAUUACAGAGUUCUCGCCCUCGCGGGUAGAUCUCCCACCCUUUGUAAUCGCUACCGUGUUGCUUUGGCGGGCCGCCGGGCCCAGCCCGGCCGCCGGCUCCGGCUGGCGCGCGCCCGCCAGAGGCUCCGCAAACUCUGAAUGUCAGCGUCGUCCGAGCACUACACAAUAGUCAAAACUUUCAACAACGGAUCUCUUGGUUCUGGCAUCGAUGAAGAACGCAGCGAAAUGCGAUAAGUAAUGCGAAUUGCAGAAUUCAGUGAGUCAUCGAAUCUUUGAACGCACAUUGCGCCCCGUGGUAUUCCGCGGGGCAUGCCUGUUCGAGCGUCAUUUCAACCCUCAAGCUCUGCUUGGUGUUGGGCCCUGCCCCCGCGGCCGGCCCCAAAGACAGUGGCGGCGCCGCCCGGCUCUAAGCGUAGUACACCUCUCGCUCUAGCGCCUGGCGGCUGCCCGCCAGAACCCCCAACUCCUGUGGUUGACCUCGGAUCAGGUAGGGAUACCCGCUGAACUUAAGCAUAUCAAUAAGCGGAGGA
rnacentral:rRNA from 1 species